UACGUAGGGCGCAAGCGUUGUCCGGAAUUACUGGGCGUAAAGCGCGCGUAGGCGGACCUGCAAGUCGGGGGGUGAAAGCCCGAGGCUCAACCUCGGAACUGCCUUCGAUACUGCGGGUCUCGAGUCCGGGGAGAGGUGAGUGGAAUUCCUAGUGUAGAGGUGAAAUUCGUAGAUAUUCGCAAGAACACCAGUGGCGAAGGCGGCUUACUGGUCCGGUUCUGACGCUGAGGCGCGAAAGCGUGGGGAGCAAACAGG
rnacentral:rRNA from 1 species